CUUUUGAUACUUUGGUUAAUCCCUUUAUAGUCUGCAAUUAGAUUGCUCGCGAUUUAUUGAGGAUAGAGGGAGAGAGAGAGAGAGGGAGAGACCACGGCGGCCGGCGAAGUCUGUCUGCUCUUGAUCCAUCGAGUUGCAGGUGACCUAUUAUUUUACAUAGGCUUAAAUGAAUAAGAGUGAAGAUUCUGGUAGCCCAGGAUGGGGCGCUUCACUAUUCAUGCAAACUGAAGAUGUCGCUAGAACGUUCUUUUCUGUUGCUUCAGCUGCAACUGCUGGGUCACCACGCCCUUCUGCAGUUUUCUCAUCUGGAGACAUGAAUGUUGACAGUCACUUUCAGAAAUUGCAACGCCGUGCUUCAAGAUUGUUGAAGGGGUUUUCAUCUUCUCCAGAACAGAAGGGAUCUUACAAUCCUGAAGUCCUUACAAGUCAGAAACGUCAAUGGGCUGGAUUUCAGUUACGAUCUUCGGAUCAACGAGCUGUGAAGGAGCCAUCAAAAUUAUUUGAGAGCAUGGUUGUUGUUGGACUUCAUCCUAAUGCUGAUGUUCAAGCCCUUCGAAAGAUUGUUUUAGAUAGAAAUAAUAGUGAUCCAAAGAGAAGAAGCUUACUAAACUACCACCAUCAAGUUCACUCUGAAUCAGUUAUUGCACCACAGGUUCUGUUUGUCUAUCCUCCAGAUAAACAAGUGCCUUUAAAGUAUAAGGAUCUUCUUUCAUUCUGCUUUCCUGGAGGUGUCGAGGUGCAUGCUGUGGAAAGAACUCCUUCGAUGAGUGAGCUGAAUGAAAUAAUGCUGGGGCAGGAACAACUUAAGCAAAGUAACCAGUCAUUUGUUUUCCGUUUAAAGGCUGCUGAUAAUUCAACAUUAUAUGGAUGUUGCGUUUUGGUUGAAGAACUUCUACAAAGCCCUUCAAGUUUGGUUUCGUUGCUUAUAGGGGACAAACCAUGUUCAUCACCAUUAAGCCGUCAUAUAUUGACUACAUCACGCUGUUACUGCAUCUUAUCAAGGCUUCCAUUUUUUGAUCUGCAUUUUGGUAUACUGAGAAGUAUCUUUAUUGAAGAAAGGUUGGAAUGGCUUACAAAAGGCUCUGAAAUGCUAAAUCUGCUGUCUACAGAAGAAACGUCCGAGGAUGGAAGGGUGCUUGAUAUCACUUAUAACUCACCAGAGGAAGAGUAUACUGACGAGGAAGGUGUAAGGCAAACGAGAGAUUUUGAUUCAAUGCCUGAAGCUACUUCUAUGGAAGUUUGUAAAAUGCUAGAGGAAGAGUAUGGUGCUAAGGAAGGAGAAAGGCAGACAAGAGAUUUUGAUUCAGCUUCUAAAGUUACUCCUAAGGAAGUUUAUAACUCACCUGAUGAAGAGUAUGCUGCCAAGGAAGGAUUAAGGCAAGCAAGAGAUUCUGAUGCAACUUCAGAAGCUUCUCAUAAGGAAGUAACUGUCAGCAAGGAUCAUGAUUCAGACCCAACAAUUUCUAUCCAAGAAACUGCAAUUUUGGCAGCUUACCAAGAAUCAAUGGACCUUACUGAAAUAGAAAAUGGAGACAUUAGACAAAACAAUCUUGACGACUCUAUUAAUAAAAGUGAUGCAAACAAGCAGCAGAUGGAUGCAAUAGAUACUGUUUUGCCACUUUUCCAUUGUCCUGCUUAUGAAAGUUCUGAAUCCUCCAGCAGUUUACAGGGGUCUCCAUGCGAAGGUAUAAAUCUGAGGAGAAAUAAUGAUGAUUCAGAUCUGGAAGAACCAUCUUCUUCUGGUCAAGAAGAUCUAAAUCGCCACAGUAAAAUUCUUGAAUGGGCCAAGGCAAACUGCAAUGGAUCCUUACAGAUUAUUUGUCAGUAUUAUGGUCUAGAAUGUCCUGCUAGAGGAUCAACACUAACAUUUAAGCCUCUAGAGCACUUACAUCCGUUGGAUUUUCAUAGGCCUGGUGAAACGGUUCUUCAUAUUGCUGGCUCCACUAUUGAUAUAAGAUCUGGAUGUACAAGCUUAGAAAUGACUGAGGUGCAUCAUUCUCUUUUAGCAGAAGAGGAGGCGACUGCUCUAUCUGUAUGGACAGUUGCAACAUUAUGUGGGUGUUUAGGACUUGACCGUAUAUUGGUGAUGCUUGCUGGAGCACUUCUGGAAAAGCAAAUAGUUGUUGUUUGCUCGAAUUUGGGAGUCUUAUCAGCUUCAGUAUUAUCAGUUGUCCCAUUAAUACGUCCUUAUCAGUGGCAUAGCCUACUAAUGCCAGUUUUGCCAAAUGACAUACUGGACUUUCUUGACGCGCCUGUUCCAUACAUUGUAGGCAUAAAAAACAAAACUACUGAUAUACAAUCAAAGUUGACAAGUGUUAUUCUUGUUGACGCGGACAAGAACCAGGUUAGGUCAUCCUGGAUGCCCCAACUGCCACAGAAGAAAGAACUUUUCUCAUCACUAAGUCCUUACCAUGCAAAGCUUGUUGGUGAAAGUUAUUUGGCCCGUAGAAGACCUGUGUAUGAGUGCACAGAUGUCCAGAUUGAAGCUGCUAAAGGUUUCUUGGCAGUUAUUAGGUCAUAUCUUGAUUCAUUUUGCUCGAACCUACGAUCCCACACAAUAACAAAUGUUCAAUCAAACAAUGACAAGGUUUGCUCUCUGAAUUUGACAAUGUGCUCAUCUCCAAUGUUGUUAUUUCAUUGUAUUCCAACUAUGUUUUUUAGUAUGACCAUGAUCUCUGUAAUUGUCUUAAAAUCAGAAGCCCUGACCAGGUCUCCUAAAGAUUCAUGUGAACCUCCAUUCGAAGUGGAAACAACUGCUGUGACAAAGAAAAUCAUAUACAUAAUACUAUAAUACUACCAAGAUAAAUCAAUCUUAUUAGUUAGAUUACCUAUAACAUGGCUUGUUAACUUUCUGCUUUGUGCUUAUCUACAGGUUUCAGUGCUGUUGAAAGAUAGUUAUAUUGAUUCGUUUCCAUAUCGUGACAGACCCUUUAUGAAGCUUUUUGUGGAUACACAGCUUUUCUCAGUACAUACAGACCUUGUUCUCGCAUUCUACCAAAAGGAUUAAGAUAACGCUGGAGAUUUGGCGGUUGA